rnacentral:rRNA from 1 species
CGGGGUGAGUAACGCGUGGAUAACCUGCCCCAUACCGGGGGAUAACAGCCGGAAACGGCUGCUAAUACCGCAUAAGCGCACAGGAAUGCAUAUUCCAGUGUGAAAAACUCCGGUGGUAUGGGAUGGAUCCGCGUCUGAUUAGCUAGUUGGCGGGAUAGAGGCCCACCAAGGCGACGAUCAGUAGCCGACCUGAGAGGGUGGCCGGCCACAUUGGGACUGAGACACGGCCCAGACUCCUACGGAAGGCAGCAG